ACUCAGAAUUAUGCAAAAUAUUGACAUAGUUUUGCGAUGAAUAAACACAAGCCCUACCUAAUUAUACUAAUAUGUAUUUGUUUUUCGUAUAGAUAUAGAGAUCUGUAGACGAGAAUAAUAUUUAUAACAAAUAUCGUAUACAUGACGCAUUGCAUAUGGCAGUUUUGGCCGUCAAAUAGAUCGAUCCGCUAUCACAUCGUUUUCUGUGCACGAUAAAAGUCUAUUCGAUUUCUGGGACCUCCGAAGAGAAUGCGAUGUAGCAAAUCUGCAGUUUCGGUUUGGUCAGGUAUUGGAAAGCAGAUCAGAGGAGAAAAUAGACGAUGAUCGUGAGACGCGUGUGAGUACCGGCGUUCUCACGCGCCGCCACGUGCCUCGUAACACACCCUUCAAUCUUCAAUCUUCCUCCCUUACCCUCGCUAUCGCCCCUUCCACGCGUGCUUGCUUCUCUUUCUCUCUCUCUCUCUUUCUCUGAUUACCCAUCGGUCUUCGAAGUUUCACACUCAACGAAAUCGUUCAAAUGAUUGCACACCUUCCAAUCG
rnacentral:misc_RNA from 1 species